rnacentral:lncRNA from 1 species
ACACCUGUAAACUCACCAUAAAAAAAGUUAUCCCAAGACACCCAAAAAAAACUUGCCCCAAUGAGACCUUCCCCAGCUCUCUCUCCUCCAAUUUUUCAUAUUCAAACUUUAUUUUUCUCUCGCAAUAGAGAAAAAUAAAGUUUUACAAAAACUAUUUUCUGUAGCAAAACCCUAACACCCUGUUUAGCGGAAAGAGAUGGUCCUGGAUUUGGCCAUCUCCUUGAUUUCUUCUCUCCAUUCUCCCCUUCUCCAUGGUUUGGCUACCAUUUUCGUCUCCCUGAUUUCUCCGUAGAUCGGACUCCAAAUCCAUCCACGGCUGGAUAUGGGACGGACAGGGGGUACCCUCGUCCGUGGUCACGCAGCUUCUGCUUGGUGGUGAAAAUACUGUUUUGCCCUCGUGCUGGGGAAGAAGAACGCGAUAGACCGUCGCAAGACAUCUCUCUCUGGGCUGAAUCAAAUUGGGGAAGAAGAACAGGGGAUUUUGGGGUUUUAUUUGGGUAAAUUACACUGACCUCCCUUGAGAUUAUAGGUUAAUAUACAAGAAAUUUUAACGUUUAAAAAAUUAAAUUAAACUCCCCUGAAGUUUUAAAACUUUAUUAGAUUCCUUCAAUUUACCCUCUACAAACAUAUUUCUAAAGUAUAUAUAAUAUUUAAAUGUAUUUUUUUACUUGAUUUGAUUGUUUAUUGUAUUUAUUUAUUUAUUGGGUGUUCGCAGAAAUCGGGUACAAAAAUCGUGUACCACUUUUUUUGUGGAAGUAGACUGAAUUUUUUGUAGAAAUUUAAACUAUUUUAAUACAUUUUUUGUUUAUUACUUUUAUUACUAAAUUAGAGAGAAUUCUAAAUGACGGAUUGGGGUGCCCACAAUUUGAAUUCUUGCCUAAUAUAUGACAAUAUUUUAAUUUUGAAUAUUUAAUUAAAAUAAAAAUUGAAUGUAAUUUUUAAAUUAUAUAUAAUAUUUAAAGUAAAAGUUUUUAUUUUAAUCAUCUAAAUAUUAAUUAACAUAGAUUUUUCUAAUUAAACGAAUUUAUAUUCAUAUUAACAAUUAAUUAAUGAAGUGGGGAUAUUUUGUCUUUUAACAUCUUAUCCCAUCAUAUCCUUUCUAAAUCCAUUUCUUCCAAAAUACCAUCCAAACACUCACCUACAAAUCAUCCUUCUUAAAAGUGGGUCCCCCUUAUUAAAACCAUCUCUCACUUCAAUCCACCCUCAAAUCCCCCUUUAUUUCAAAUCUAUCAAAAUCAUCUCCGACCGCCAAAUGGGCUGUAAGGGCCUGUUUGGCAUCCGGAGAUGGUCCCGAAUUUGGCCAUCUCCCGGAUUUGUUCUCCCGUGAUACUCCUUCUCCGGGUUUGGUGAGUAUUUUGGACUCCCUGAUUUCUUCUCCGUUUGCCUUCAAAAUCCUUCCCGUGGUUGGACAUAGGACGGACAGGGAUACCCCUGUCCGUGGUCAUGCGUUCCCCGCGUCGUGUGAAUGACUGUGUGGCCCUCGUUUAUGGAUCUGUGGUUUUGUGUUCCUGAAAUGUGACUUGAGCUUGGUUGAAUCAUUCCUGGGUUGCAAAGUAAAAGGGGAACAAUAGAGGAUUGAUUGCAACGAAGGGGAAGAACAGGGGGUGAGGAAAGGGAAAAACAAGGGACUAGUUGGGGUGAAUCUUCAGUUCAGAUUUCUGAGGCAUGGGAGGUUUGGGAGAGAGAGGAGAGAUAAGCCAUUGAUGAAUUGGAGAAACAGGCAUGAAAAAUGGGCUCAAAUGGUGGGUUCACACUGUUGCAUCGACUAUUAGAUGACAGAAAGUCUCUAGUUUAUAAAAAAAAAAAUUCUUUUCUUGUUCUAUUUUUUUUUAAUUUUUGUGCAAUUAAUUUCAGAUGAAUUUGUUUGUUCUUGAUUCAAAUGUUCUUCAUUUGUCCAUUUAUAGUUUUUUGUGUAAUUAUAAUUAAUAAAUAAAGUGAAUUAGUAUGAUGUGAGGCCUUGAUGGUUAUAAAUUUCUUCUUGUUGUCAUUUUUUUUUAAAUUUGUACAAAUAUUUUCUUUAAGGUGAAUUUGAGAUUUUUUUUGAGUCUAAAUCUUUAACCACAAAAUACUAUUUUUUGUUAUUUCAAUUUUGUGCAAAUAUUUUCACCUAAAUGUUAUUGUUAUUGUUUCUAUUUGCUUCAAAUUUUCAUUCAAUAAUUUUGUAUAUUUAUAAUUUAUUAUAAAUAAAAUGAAUUAGAUGUGAGUUUUGUCAACUUUUGAUGGACCCAAGUUUUUUGUGAGCACAAGUACUAAAUAAUAAUAACUAUUUUUAAAUUAGUAAUAUUUUAUACAAAUUAAUAUUGAAAAUCUAAAGUAAUAUUAACAAAAAAAGUUUGAAAGUAAUUUUCUUUAAUAUUUACUACAUCAUUAAUUUUGAAUAAUUUAAACCCACAAAAAUAAAUUUAUAUAUUUUUAAUCUCUAUAUUAAUACUCCAGUGAAAUUUUGAUUUUAAUCAUUUCAAUAUUAAUUAAUUAUUUUUAUCUAAUGAAAUGAAAUUAACCUUUAAUAUUAACACUACUUAAUGAAAUGGGGACAAUUUUGUCUUUUGACAUCUUAUCCCUAUCUAAUCCACUUUCAAAUCACCUUUGUCCAAAACACAUCCCAAACACCAAAUUAUAAAUCCACCCUCUUAAAAGGUGGACCCCACCUUAUUAUAAAUCACCUCUCAUUUCAAAUCUACUCUCAAAUCCUCCCUCAUUUUAAAUCCACCAAAAUCAAAUCAUUCUGCCAAAUGCACCAUAAAUCUCUAACAUGAAAAGAGAUUUAGAGUUGAUUCAGGUAAUACCACCCUGUUUGGCGGAGGGAGAUGGUUCCGAAGUUGGCCAUCUCCCUGAUUUCUUCUCCUCUUCUCUCUUUCCUCCCGGGUUUGGGAGUAUUUUUGCCUCCCUGAUUUCAUCUCCCGAUGGCCUUCGAACUCAUCUAUAGCCAAUAUUGAGGGGGGACAGGGGGGUACCAACCGUCCGUAGUGAAGGGCGGUGUCCGCAUGGUGGGAAAGACCGUUGUGCCUCGUGCUGUGGGAAGAAGACGUCUCUCUCUCGCUAGCUUAAAAUUGAAAUUGGGAAGACGCCCACUGAAGGGAGUAAUUUUAUUGGGUAAAUUCACUGACCUCCCCUUAGUUUAUGGGUUAACCACAAGAAAUCUUGGCAUUUAAGAAAUUAUAAUUAUCCCCCUAAAGUUUUAAAAAUUUGUAAUAGAUUCCCUCAAUUUACUCAAAAAAAUAUUUCCUAAAUUAUAUCUUAAUAUUUAAAUUCAUUUUUUACUUAAUUUUGAUUUUAUUUAUUUUUUAUUUAUUUAUCAAAGUGAAACAUUUUUCUAAACUAUAAGGACCUUUUGGUUGUGGGUUACUAUUUGGGUGUGUUUGGAGUUUUUCUUCAAAUAUUUUUAUGUUUAUUCUUUUUAUAUUUUUUAAUUAUCUUGAAGACAAAGUUUAAAAAUUCAAAAUCCUUGAUCAAAAGUUUAAAGUAAUUAAUCGAUUUUUUUAACUUAUUUUUCUUACAAUUACAGACUUGUUUUCAUUUUGGACUAGUUUUUUCUACCUUUUGGGUUGGUCACUUUUUUAAAAUUUUAAUUUGAAUAAUUUACACCCAAAACAAUUAAAUUAUAUAUUUUUAAACUAUAUAUUAAUAUUUUCAUUAAUUUUUUUAGUUUAAUCAUUUAAAUAUUAUUACUUAUAUUUUAUCUAAUUAAAGCGAAAUAUAUUUAAUAUUAACACUAAUUAAUGCAGUAGGAGUAAUGUUGUCUUUUUAUAUCUUAUCACAUCAUAUCCAACAUCUAAAUCCCUUCUUCAACCCUCCAAUACCAAAUUAUAAAUCAAUCAUUCUUAAAAGGUGGGGCCCCCCUUAUUAUAAAUCCUCCCCUCAUCAAAUCCCCUUCAAUUCUCACUCAUUUAAAUCUACCAACAAAUUAUCUCUUGCUGCCAAACGGGCUGUAUAUGUCUUGGUUGGUUGGAGCCUGGACUUAGAGGACGGGAAGAAAGAGGUCCAAACGGGGGAAAAGUGGUUUGAGGGUAAUUUUGUCAUUAAACUGGACAUACUGACACGGAUGAAUGGUGCGGAAAAGAACUGUGACAGACGGUCAUGAAUGGCACGUGGGAGCCAAUAAAAGCCCUGCUUGAAGCAUUCCCCCCAAACCCCCCAAAAAAAAAACACGUGUAAUGUUUAUACGAGUGUCCUUCUCUAUGUCAGGCGAGAAUCACCUGUCCCGAUUUUUUUCUGUCCCCAACCACCAGUGUUUUUAGACCAAAUGAUACACAUAUCCAUUUAUAAUUUAUCAAAGUAGGUUAUGUAAUUUAUUUAACUCAUUAAUAAUUACAAAUAUACAGGUACCAUCCAUUUAAGUUUGAGACAAAAACAAAUCGGGACAGUGAAUCCCGCCCCCUCUAUCUCAUCGUCCAUCUAUAAAAGAUGACUAACAGAUGACCCCUAAUACAAGAGUUUAAAAUGAUUUUUAAAAAAUAUUAUUUUAUAAAUAUUAGCUAAUUGUAUUUUUUAAAUAAAUAUCAAAUGCUAUAGAGAAAGUGAUGGACCUAAAGGGGACGGCUAGAAUUUAAAAAAAAUCUAAUUAUCGAUAUCAUAGUUAUAAAAAUCGAAUCGAAUCGGCCGGUUGAAUCGAAAACCGAACCAUGAACCGGUAUGGUUCAAUUAAUUACCGAAAAUGCAUGUGAACCGUAUUAAACCAAGUGAACUAGACGAUUUUUUGAAAAACUAGUGAAUUGCCGGUAUUUAGUGAACCAUCCGAUUUUUAAAAAAAAUUAAAAAACUAAAUAUUACAAAGAUUUUAAAAUAUUUAUUUUUUAAAAAAAUAUCUUUUAUGAUUUUUUGAUGAAAAAAAGUAAAAUUUUCAAAUAAAAGUCAAGAGAAGAAAAAAAAAUGACUGUUUAUUAUCUCAUCUUUAAAAUGAUUAUGAAAAUCUUUAAAUAACGCAUGUUUCUCUCUUUUUUACCUUUGAUAUCUCAUCUUUAUAUAUUUAUUAUAUUAUAAUUAAAUAUAUUGAGAUGUGUAUUAUCAAAAAUUAAUUCAAAUUUAACAAAUAUAAAUUAAAUUAAAAAUAAAGAUACAAAAUAGGAAGGUAAUAGGAAGAAAAAAAAAAAAAUAAAAAUAACACCACUACUGCAUAUUAUUAUCUAAUAAUAAUAUUAUUGACAGUUGUACGUUUUUUCUUUUAAAUAUAAAAUAAUAAUAAUAAUGUUUAAAAAUCUAAAUGGAAAGAAAAAAAUCUUCUUAAAUAUUUUUUAAUUAUUUAUUUUAUUACUUGCCUUUUAUCGAUAUUUAUUAUUUGUGCUUAUAUUGAAUUAUUGUAGAAAAAUGGAAUCUUUUACCUAUUGAUAAUUUCUUAAAUAAUUGUUUUUAUUUAAAUAUAUUUUUAUUAUUUAUUUGUAUAUAAAAUGAUUGCCACCACGAUUGAAUCAAUAAUUAUUGAACCGAUGCCUUGACCGGUUCAAAUAACCGAUUUUGAUCGAUAUUUUCAAAAUAAAUGGCUUCGUCACCUCACGCCUUCCCAGGAUCAUAAUUUUAAAGCACUGUGUGUUAUUUCGGUGAAGUUGACGAUCGUCAUCCUGUAAGUGGUGUAAAUAUGACUAGAAGCUGAUCCGUACAAAAGAUAGAAAUGGAUCCGUAGGAGGUUCUAAAGAUCUUUGGAAAAUUACAGAAAAAGACUCAUAUGUUUGACUCAUAUGUUUGACUUCAUUAACGAAUUAAAUUUUAUAAUUUUAAUUAUUAUAAAUUAAAUCAUAAAAUUUUGAUCUAAAUUAAAAUUUAUAGUUCGACUUCACUAUUAAAAUUUGUUGCUAGUUUCUAUUUCAUUAGGGUUGAAGGAACCAACUAAUUUUUAACAAAAAAUAAAAAAAUAAACGUAUUUCAACGUAAUUACCAUUUAAUCGAUGCAAUUAUAGCUCAUUUUUUAAUAAAAAUUAAAAUAACUUUUAAUAUUUUAACUUAAAUGAGCCCUAAUUGCUUCGAUGAAGGUUUUAAAGGGUGAUAACUUUGAAAUACAAGCCUUUUUCGUCAAUUUUUUUGCAAGAAUUGGGGGUUGGUUUGGUCGUGCCUAAUGAAACAAACUGACUGACGGGGUUUCCUUAAUUAUGUCAUAUCAAAACUUUAAUGAUUUUAUUUAUAUAAUUAAAACUAAAGAACUUAAUGUUAUUAUUGAGUCAAACCCUACGUUAUUUUGUAAUUUUACAAUGACUUUUACAUAAAUAAAUUUUUAUAAAGUUAGCUAAUUGUUUUUCUUACAAAAAUAUCAAAUGUGUAAUGUAUAUAGGAAAUUAAAACUAUAGAGUUUAAUUUGUUAUUGAUGUCAAACCUAUUUUUUUUUUUAAUUUUUCCAAAGAUUUUUUAAACAUAAAUAAUUUUUUGUAAAUGUUAGCUAAUUAUUUUUCUUAAAAAAUAUAAAUUGUGUAAUAUACACACAAACACAUAUCCUUCUAUGUCUCGUCAUCAUAUAAGAAAUGAUUAGCAAUUGACACGUGAUAGUAUCACAGGAUUAAAAAGAUUUUUAACAAAAUAAUUUAGUUGUAAAUGUUAGCUAAUUAUUUUUCUUAGAACAAAUAUCAACUGUGUAAUAAAGUAACUAAUGGUUCAGAGGAUAAAGGCCACGAUCACCAUAACAAAGUUAAGUUUCAAUUUUAUUGCAAUAAUAAUUACAGAUAUUUUCAAAUUACAAAAUUAAAUUAAUGUUAGAUUUUACUCAUGGCUACAAACUCGUAAAUUUGUAUGUACAUCUCUCCUCAAAUUAUAAAUCUGUGAUCUAUAAAUGCAAAGUGUCCCCUCUCUAUCUCGGCAUUGCUUAGAGGUGGCAAACGUGGGCCCGCCGUGCCUUGCCGUGCCACUUUUCUUCCGUGCCAACCGUGUCUUCGUGCCGUGCCGUGUCGGGCCCAUUUACAUUAACGUGCCUUGUCAGGCCGGGCCUUAAUCGUGCCGGCCAUUUUUAAUCGUGCCGUGUCGUGCUUUUUUUUUUAUUCGUGCCUUGCUGUGCGUGCCAUUUAAUAUACCGUGUCGUGCGUGUGCCGGCCAUUUACUUAAUCGUUCUAUGUCGUGCCGGCCCGCUUACUUAAAAUCGUGUCUUGUCGUUGCCGCCCGUAACUUAUCGGGUGACUCCGUGUCGUGGCCGUGCCGGCUGUCUACUUAAUCGUGUCGUGCCGUGCCCGUCUAACGCAAAUCAUGUCAUGUUUGCCCUAUUUUACUUUAGGUUAUCAAAUAUUUUUUUAAAUCAAACCGUCAACGUCUUAUAAUGGGAGUGGAUUUUAUUCAUCCAUGCAAAAAUUGAAGUAAAGUAAUUCUUAUACGUACUUGAUCGAAUGAGAAUAAUUUUUUAAUUUUAUAUUCUACGUCCGGAUAAAAGGGUUUGCAAUACCCGAUAGGACUUCAAAUUUGGUGAGAGUGAUUAAGAAUAUCAAGACAAAAAGGUGACGCGUUUUGGAUCGUCAUAAUUGUGUUGCAUCUUUUGCUAUUGUACAUUAUCCUACACACAAUAAUUGGUGUAAGAUCAAGUACUUGAUAUAGAGGAUUGAAAGACAUGUCAUAUACUCGAUUUUUCUGGAUGUUUGAUCUAACCGUUACGAUUUUUAUAUCGUUCAAUUUUAUAUUUUUUCCUCAAAAAUUAUGGCGAUCAAAUGUCUGCACCACCGAUCGGGUCACUUCGGUGCAUCUAUGAGCAAUAAUAUUCCUAUAAGCAUGACUUGAAUGGCCAUCACAAUAUUUUUUUUCUGAAUCGGAAACCGUUUUAGAUUAUAAUUAUGAGUGUUGUAUAUUUAUGCAAAAAUAAAAUACUUUUUAAUUAUGUUACAUACUUGAUCAAAUGAGACAAAUUAUUGAUUGAUAAUGAAUAAAUAAACACUUUCCCAGAUGAAAGGUCUUUUAAUAUCCAAUUAUAUUUCAAAUUCGCGAAGUGAUUAAAAUAGCAUACAAACAAAGUGAACGGUGUGAUAUUAUCAUAAUUCAUUUUUGCGAUUGUGUGGUUAGCGAUACAACAAAUUCGGCGAGAGUGAUCAAAUUUUAGUUUUAAUUUUUUCUCAGUGAAAUAAAAUAAAUUGUGUAUUUUUGUCUUCUUAUGGCCCUAAUAUGGGCCUAAGUCAAAAUUUAAAUUUAUAGUUUUUGUUUUCAAAAUUUAAUUUUUAUUUUUUUUUAAAUUUUUAAUUUUUGUUAUUGAGAAUUUUAAUUUUAAAAAUUUUUCUCAUUUUUUUUUCUUAUUAUGGCAUUUAUGGCAAAGUCAAUUUAUUUAAUAAAAUCUAUUUUUUUUAUUUUUAUUAUUUAUGGCCAUAGCCCAUAAUCAGUCAAAAUUUCUUUAUUUUAUUUUUAUUUUUUAAAUAAUGUUUGUAUGUUUUUAUUUUUUUUUAUUAUGACAAGGUCCAUUUAUUUAAUUAAAUUUUCUGUUAAUUUAAUUUAAUAAUUAAUUAUUUUUUGCACUUCCGUGUCGUGCUAGCCAUUCCGUCCAUACCCUUGCUUUGCCCUUGAUACAUCCGUGACAUGCUCGUUGCCGUGCUUUGGCUAAUCUGUGUCUUGCUGGCCAUGCCAUGCCAAACCAAACCAACUAUCGUGUCGUGUCCCAGUUGUCGUGCCUGGACUUUUGACCGUGUCGUGCCGUGUGUAGCCAACUAUCGUGCCAUGCUCUACAAUUUUUCGUGCCUCGUGCCUGUACCCUUGCCCUGCUUAGACCAAUCGUGCCCAAUUAUACCGUGCCCAAACCGUGCUCGUUCCUAUUUUUUUCUGCCGGUCCGUCCGGCAAGGCCGCUGGAUACCUCUAUCAUUUCUGACCAACAACAUUUACCAUGAUACUGAUGGCUAGAAAGAUUUUUUUAAAUCCAUCCUUAUAAUCUAAGAUAAUUUUAUUUACUAUUAGGGGUGAUUACUAUUCGUUCGGUCAGUUUAGGACCAAAAUCUAAAACCGAACCAACGAAUAAGAUUUUGACUUUUUUUCUUUUUUUUCUGAUCGUGAAUAAGCUAAAUUUGUAUGCAAAAUAACACACAUUCGUCGAAUCUCACACAUUUUUGAAAAAGAAAUAAGGAAAAUGGGAGAAAGUAUGCAUAACUCUCCUCUCCUUAGUCCCUGUUUGGGUAACCCAAAAAAUAUUUUUUUUCCACAUUUAUAGAAUUUAAAAAAUAAAAUUACAUCAGAAAAAUUUUUGUUUUUUUGAUCUAAAUUAAAAUUUAUAGUUUGACUUCACUAUUAAAAUUUGUUGCUAGUUUCUAUUUCAUUAGGGUUGAAGGAACCAACUAAUUUUUAACAAAAAAUAAAAAAAAUAAACGUAUUUCAACGUAAUUACCAUUUAAUCGAUGCAAUUAUAGCUCAUUUUUUAAUAAAAAUUUAAAAAUUAAUUUUAAUAAUUUAACUUAAAAAUGACCCUAAAUUGCUUUCGAUGAAGGGUUUUAAAGGGUGAUAACUUUGAAAACACGCUUUUUCAAAUUUGUUUGGCAGAAUUUGGUUUGGUUUGGUCCGUGCCUAAUGAAACACGACUGACUGGGUUUUAUUAUGUUCUAUCAAAACUGUUAAGAUUUAAUUUAUUAUAUUCAACUAAAUACAUUAUUUUUUAUUGAUGGUCAAACCCUACGUUGAGUUGUGUGAAUUUUACAUGACUUUUAACAAAUAAUUUUUAUAAGAUGUUAGCUAUUAUUUUUCUUAGCAAAAUAUCAAUGUGUCAUGUAUAUAGGAAAUUAAAACUAUAGAGUUUAAUUGUUCUUGUGUCAACAUUUUUUUUUUAAUUUUCCAAAUAUUUUUUAACAUACUAAUGUUUUGUAAAUGUUAGCUAUUAUUUUUCUUAAAAAAUAUAAAUUGUGUAUAUACACACAAACACAUUCCUUCUAUGUCUCGUCAUCAUAUAAGACAUGCUAGUCAAUUGACACGUGAUUAGUUCUCACUGAUUAAAAAGAUUUUAAAAAUAAUUGGUUGUAAAUGUUAGCUUAAUUAUUUUUCUUAGACAAUAAUCACCUGUGUAAUAAUGUACCUAUGGUUCAGAAGGAUAAAUGGCCACUAUCACCAUAUAACACAGUUUUGAAGUUUCCAUUU